CCGCAUUCGCGCCACCACUUCGCCGGAACGCGAGUGCGUUUCGCCUCGUGCUACCGCCCGUCGCUGCUCGCCGUCGACGUGGUCUGGCUUUGUCCCUCUUUGAGUUUGCGAAGGGUGUCAAGAUUACAGGAAGAGCAAAGGUAUCUGUUUGACAUUGCUACUCUUCUUCCUUGGAUGUACUCCGGAUCCGGGUUUAGAGGAGGGGCUUCUGGUUGAAGGGCUUCCUUUUGUUUGGUUUAUAAUGUUACCAAAUUCUUGGAGGAACAAUGUGGAGGAGGCGAUGAUUUAUUGACGGUGACCAGUACAUCCUUCUCUAUUAAGAACAGUAGAAAAACCAUUUUCAUCUUCUUGGAUUUGAGGAAAGGAUUCAACUGAUAAUUUUGAAGAGGUUGGGUUGGAUAGAGCACUUAUUGCAAGGGCAACGAUCAAUGAGCACUGUCAAUGAGAUGCAGCAACAAUCCUUUCCAAGAUCAAGACACUCGAAUUCAUCAUAACUUCAGUUUUUGUUUCCACUCGCAAUCUUGGGAUGAGCUACUGCCAUCAGAGUUAUACACUCAAUCAGCUUAAAAUCUUUUGAUGCGCUUGCAAUGUUAAGCUGGUGGUAGUUGUAUACGUCAAAAGUCAUUUCCUUGUUCCUCAUUCAUAAAACCUUUUGACAACAAAACCUUUCGCCAUUAAGCUUUGCUGUAGUGAACUGUACCUGAGAAACCUAAAAGUUGCUCGAGGUUCUCCCUCGCCAUUUCCUUCACUCGUGCACUUUCUAAUCUUCAUUGUACAUGUAUAGAACUCAAACAUGAUGUGGCCUAUGGACCUGAUGAUGAUGUUGCUCUUUUCCCA